rnacentral:rRNA from 1 species
UUCGAGGUAGUGACGAGAAAUAACAAUACAGGGCAUUUUAUGCUCUGUAAUUGGAAUGAUGGGAAUGUAAAACCCUUCCAGAGUAACAAUUGGAGGGCAAGUCUGGUGCCAGCAGCCGCGGUAAUUCCAGCUCCAAUAGUGUAUAUUAGAGUUGUUGCAGUUAAAAAGCUCGUAGUUGGAUUUCUGUCGUGGUCAUCCGGCUCCGCCCGUAUGGGUGUGCGCCUGGUUUGCCCUCGGCUUUCUUCCGGUAGCCUUCCGCGCUUCACUGCGUGUGUUGGUGUUCUGGAACUUUUACUUUGAGAAAAAUAGAGUGUUUCAAGCAGGCUUGUCGCCCUGAAUACUUCAGCAUGGAAUAAUAAGAUAGGACCUUGGUUCUAUUUUGUUGGUUUCUAGGACCAAGGUAAUGGUUAAUAGGGACAGUUGGGGGCA